rnacentral:sRNA from 1 species
UUUUUUUUUCGUUUUUUUU